rnacentral:lncRNA from 1 species
CCAUCUUAAGCUCCUUAUCUGAUCGAACUAAAACUUAUUUUGCAUCUCCUGUCACAUGGUGAGGCCAAAAACAAUAUCCACAUCUAUGUAACAAACAAAAAACUGAUCAAAUAGAACAAAAGGGAACCAAUCACCAAACCAGAACCGCUUUUCCUUCAAAAAUGGUGAAGAACCACACAAAGAUCCAUCUGAAAUGGAAGUGCAUAAACAAUAAGCAAGGGGAAAGCCCAGGAAGAAGACAAUGACAGUAGAAAAAUAUUAUACUCCCUCUACAAUGCUUCACGUCCAACAACCAGACCAAGAUAGCCCCACCUUAAGCUCCGACUUUGGUAGAAUCAAAACUUAUUUUGUAUCUCCUGUCAAAGGGUGGGACCAAAAACAAUAUACACAUGUACGUAACAAACAAAAAAUAGAUUAAACAGAGCAAAAGGGAACCAAGCACCAAACCAGAACCGCCUUCCCACGAGAACUGGUUAAUUAGAACCCAAAGAUCAAACAUUUGAAGAUUAAAGAGCAUAACAAUAAGCAAAGGGAAAAAGUUCACCUAGAAGAUAAAUCACAAUAGAAAAAUAAUAUACUCCUGUUGACACCCACCAUAAACACUAUACCAAUGGCAGCAUCCAAGAUUGGUCCAUAUCCAAAUAACCAGACCAAGAUAGCCUCACCUUAAAUACCUAACUUUGAUGGAAUCAAAACCAAUUUUGUAUCUCCUGACACAGGGUGAGGCAGAAAACAAGGUCCAAGUCUACGUAACAAAAUAAAACUAUAAUAGAGAGCAAAGAUAACCAAGGAUCAAACCAGAACAGUCUUCCACAGAAGCCUGAUUAAGAAACACACAACGAUCCGGCAUCUGGAAAUUGAAAAGAAUAACGAUAAGCAAGGGAAAGUUUAGGUAGAAUAUAAAAUUUAGUAAAAAAGUUACAAUACUAUACUCCCUAUGCAACCCUUGAUAAACACUAUAUCAAUGACAGCGUCAAAGGUUGCUCCGUGUCCAACAAUCAGACCAAGAUUGCACCACCAUAAGCUCCUACUUUGAUAGAAUCAAAACUUAAUUUAUAUUUUGUGUCAUAGGGUGAUGCAGAAAACAAUAUCCACGCCAACGUAACAAACAAAAAACUGAUGAAAGAGAAAAAAGAUAACAAAGCAUCAAACCGAACAGCCUUCCAAUUAAGAACCACAACGAUCAGAAAUCUGAAAAUUGAAGAGUAUAACGACAAGCACCGGAAACUCUAGGUAGAAGAGAAAAUAUAGUAGAAGAAAAUGUAGUAUAACAAUCUGCAUCCCUCAAUAAACAUUAUAUCAAUUGACAUCUUAUAUUAGUCCGCAUCCAACAACCCCACCAAGUUGGCCCCCACCUUAAGCUCCCACUUUGAUAGAAUAAAACUGAAUUUGUAUCUCCUGUCACAGGGUGAGGGCGAAAAAAAUAUCAAAGUCUACGUAACAAAAAAAAAAAAACUAUAAUAGAGAACACAGACAACCAAGCGUCAAACAAGAACUGCCUUUCAGAGAAGCUUGAUUAAGAACAAAACAGCAACCAAAGAUUUGUCCAUGUCCAAAAACCAGACCAAGAUAGCCCCCACCUUAAGCUCCUACUUUGAUAGAAUCAAAACCUAUUUUGUAUCUCCUGUCACAGGGUGAGGCUGAAAACAACAUCCAAGUCUACAUAACAGCAAAAGAACUAUAAUUGAGAGAGCAAAGAUAACCAAUUAUCAAACCCGAACUGCCUUCCAGUUAAACUUGAUUAAGAACCACAUAAUGAACAGGCAUCUGGAAAUGGAAGAGAGACUAACAAUAACCACAGGAAAGUCUAGAUGGAAGAUAAAUUGUAGUAGAAAAAAAUACUAUAUUAUACUCCCUCUGCCAUCCUCGAUAAACACUAUAAUUGACAGCGUCAAAGGUUGAUCUGUGGCCAAUAUAACUAAACCAAGAUUAGCCCCACCUUGAGCUCCUACUUUGAUAAAAUCAAAACAAAAUUUUUAUCAUCUGCCAUAGGAUGAGGCAGAAAUACAAUAUACACGUAUACGUAACAAACAAAAAAACUGAUGAUAGAGAGAAAAGAUAAACCCAGCAUCAAACCAGAAGUGCCUUCAAGUAAAGAACACCUGGAAAUUGAAGAGUAUAACGAUAAGUAUAGGAAACUCAAGGUAAAAGAGAAAACGUAAAAAAAAAAAAAAUAACUAUACUGUACACCAUCUGCCACCCUCGACAAACACUAUAUCAAUGAUGGCAUCAUAGAUUAGUCCAUAUCCAAAAACCAGACCAAGAUAACCCCCACCUUAAGCUUCAACUUUGAUAGAAUCAAAACCUAUUUUGUCUCCUGGCACAGGGUGAGGACCAAAACAUUGUCCAAGUCUACAUAACAAAUAAACAAUAAUUACAGAGCAAAGGUGACCAAUUAGCAAACCAGAACAGCCUUCCCGUGAAGCUUGAUUAAAAACCACACAGCGAUCAGGCAUCUGGAAAUUGAUGAGAACAACGGUAAGCAUGGGAAAGUCUAGGUAGAAGAUAAAAGAUAGUAAAAAAAAAAAAAACUAUUCUAUACUCUCUUUGCCAGGCCCACACCACUAUAUCAAUGACAGCAUCAAAGGUAGAUCCGUGUUCAAUAACCAGGCCAACAUUAGCCACACCAUAAGCUCCUUCUUUCAAAACUUAAUUUUUAUCUCCUAUCAUAGGGUGAGGCAGAGAACAAUAUCCACGUCUACAUAACAACAAAAAAUUGUUGAAACUGACAAAAGAUAACCAAGAAAACAAGAAGUGCCAUCCAUUAUGGAAAUUGAAGAGUAUAACUAUAAACACGGGAAACUCUAGGUAGAAGAGAAAAUGUAGUAGAAAAAAAAAAUACUAUUAUGUAUUUCCUUUGCGACCCUCGAUUUACAAUAUACCAAUGAUAACAUCAAAGAUCUGUCCGCGUCCAAAAACCAGACCAAGAUAGCCCCCACAUUAAGCUCCUACAGUGAUGGAAUCAAAACCUAUUUUGUAUCUCCUGUCACAGGGUAGGCCCAAAACAAUAUCCAAGUCUAUAUAACAACAAAAGAAAUAUAAUAGAGAGAUCAAAUGCAACCAAUUAUGAACCCAGAACUGCCUUCCAGUUAAGCUUGAUUAAGAACCACACAACGAUCAGGCAUCUGGAAAUUGAAGAGAAUAACAAUAAGCACGGGAAAGUCAAGAUGGAAGAUAAAUUGUAGCAGAAUUAAUACAAUACUAUACUCCCUCUGACACCCUCGAUAAACAUUAUAUCAGUGACAGCAUCAAAAGUUGAUAUGUCUCCAAUAACUAGACCAAGAUUAGCCCCACCAUAAGCUGCUUCUUUCACAACUUAAUUUUUAACCCCUGUCACAAGGUGAGGCAGAAAACAAUAUCCACGUCUACGUAACAAAUAAAAGAUUGUUGAAACUGACAAAAGAUAACCAAGCAUACCAGAAGUGCCUUCCAGUUAAGAACCACACAACAAUCAGACAUCUGGAAAUUGAAGAGUAUAACUAUUAGCACGGGAAACUCUAGGUAGAAGAGAAAAUGUAGUAGAAAAAAAAUACUAUUAUGUACUCCAUGUACUCCCUUUACCACCCACAUUAAACUAUAUCAAUGACAGCAUGAAGGAUUUGUCAGUGUACCAAAAACCAGACCAAGACACGCCCCCACCUUAAGCUCCUACUUUGAUAGAAUCAGAACCUAUUUUGUAUCUCCUAUCACAGGGUGAGGCUGAAACCAACAUCGAGUCUAAAUAACAACAAAAGAACUACAAUAGAGAGAGCAAAGGUAACCAACUAUCAAACCCGAACUGCCGUCCAGUAAGCUUGAUUAAGAACCACACAACGAUCGGGCAUCUGGAAAUGGAAGAGAAUAACGAUAAGCACCGGAAGGUCUAGAUGGAAGAUAAAUUGUAUUAGAAGAAAUACUAUACUAACUCCCUCUGCCACCCUCGAAAAACAUAUCAUGACCAUCAAAGGAUUGAUUGUGUGCAAUAACUGACUAAGAUUAGCCCUACCUUAAGCCCUACUUUGAUAAAAUUAAAACUUAAUUUUUAUCUCAUGUCAUAGGGUGGGGCAGAAAACAAUAUCACGUCUAUGUACAAACAAAAAUUGUUGAAAUGACAAAAGAUAACCAAACAUCAAACCAGAAGUGUCAUCCAGUUAAGAACCACCCCACGAUCAGACAUCUGGAAAUUGAAGAGUAUAUCUAUAAGCACGGGAAACUCUAGGUAGAAGAGAAAAUGUAUAGAAAUAAAAAUACUAUUAUGUACUCCCUUUGCCACCCUCGAUUAACACAAUAUCAAUGACUCAUCAAAGAUCUGUCCGCGUCCAAAAACCAGACCAAGAUAGCCCCCACAUUAAGCUCCUACAGUGAUGGAAUCAAAACCUAUUUUGUAUCUCCUGUCACAGGGUAGGCCCAAAACAAUAUCCAAGUCUAUAUAACAACAAAAGAAUAUAAUAGAGAGAUCAAAUGCAACCAAUUAUGAACCCAGAACUGCCUUCCAGUUAAGCUUGAUUAAGAACCAAACAACGAUCAGGCAUCUGGAAAUCGAAGAGAAUAACAAUAAGCACGGGAAAGUCAAGAUGGAAGAUAAAUUGUAGCAGAAUUAAUACAAUACUAUACUCCCUCUGACACCCUCGAUAAACAUUAUAUCAGUGACAGCAUCAAAAGUUGAUGUCUCCAGUAACUAGACCAAGAUUAGCCCCACCAUAAGCUGCUUCUUUCACAACUUAAUUUUUAACUCCUGUCACAAGGUGAGGCAGAAAACAAUAUCCACGUCUACGUAACAAAUAAAAGAUUGUUGAAACUGACAAAAGAUAACCAAGCAUACCAGAAGUGCCUUCCAGUUAAGAACCACACAACAAUCAGACAUCUGGAAAUUGAAGAGUAUAACUAUUAGCACGGGAAACUCUAGGUAGAAGAGAAAAUGUAGGUAGAAAAAAAAUACUAUUAGUACUCCCUUUACCACCCACUAUUAACACUAUAUCAAUGACAGCAUGAAGGAUUUGUCAGUGUCCAAAAACCAGACCAAGACAGCCCCCACCUUAAGCUCCUACUUGAUAGAAUCAGAACCUAUUUUGUAUCUCCUAUCACAGGGUGAGGCUGAAACCAACAUCCGAGUCUAAAUAACAACAAAAGAACUACAAUAGAGAGAGCAAAGGUAACCAACUAUCAAACCCGAACUGCCGUCCAGUUAAGCUUGAUUAAGAACCACACAACGAUCGGGCAUCUGGAAAUGAAGAGAAUAACGAUAAGCACCGGAAGGUCUAGAUGGAAGAUAAAUUGUAUAGAAGAAAUACUAUACUAUACUCCCUCUGCCACCCUCGAUAAACACACUAUAUAGUGACCACGUCAAAGGAUUGACUUGUGUGCAAUAACUUGACUAAGAUUAGCCCUACCUUAAGCUCCUACUUGAUAAAAUUAAAACUUAAUUUUUAUCUCAUGUCAUAGGGUGGGGCAGAAAACAAUAUCCACGUCUAUGUAGCAAACAAAAUUGUUGAACUGACAAAAGAUAAC